rnacentral:rRNA from 1 species
UACGAAGGGGGCUAGCGUUGUUCGGAAUCACUGGGCGUAAAGCGCACGUAGGCGGAUUGUUAAGUCGGGGGUGAAAUCCUGAGGCUCAACCUCAGAACUGCCUUCGAUACUGGCAAUCUCGAGUCCGGAAGAGGUUGGUGGAACAGCUAGUGUAGAGGUGAAGUUCGUAGAUAUUAGCUAGAACACCAGUGGCGAAGGCGGCCAACUGGUCCGGUACUGACGCUGAGGAGCGAAAGCGUGGGUAGCAAACAGG